rnacentral:hammerhead_ribozyme from 1 species
AUCUAGCUGACGAGUCCCAAACAGGACGAAAAGCGACUCCUGCAU